CUGGGAUUUGAACUGGGAAGGUGGGAAGCAAUCUAGCAGGGGCCUCUGGGCUUGCGGAGAGUCCCUGUUUUCCCUUUUUUCUUUUUCACCCAAUAAAACCUUGCUUUUCUCACCCCUCAAACCAUCUGUGAACCCAGACUUUCUAGGCCAUGGAACAAGGACCCCAUCUUUAUCUGAACUAAGGAAAAGUCCUGCACCAUUUUGGCGCGCAACGUGGGGGUUCGAGAAGCGGUGAGGAGUCAAGGAAACUUAGUUUGAACUAUUUACAGCCUUUAAUAACUGAGCAAGGUAUA
rnacentral:lncRNA from 10 species